UACGGAGGGUGCAAGCGUUAUCCGGAUUUACUGGGUUUAAAGGGUGCGUAGGUGGGUCUGUAAGUCAGUGGUGAAAUCUCCGAGCUUAACUCGGAAACUGCCAUUGAUACUAUAGAUCUUGAAUUAUCUGGAGGUGAGCGGAAUAUGUCAUGUAGCGGUGAAAUGCUUAGAUAUGACAUAGAACACCAAAUUGCGAAGGCAGCUCACUACGGAUUGAUUGACACUGAGGCACGAAAAGCGUGGGGGAUCAAACAGGA
rnacentral:rRNA from 1 species